GCUGGAAUCGCUAGUAAUCGCAAAUCAGAAUGUUGCGGUGAAUACGUUCCCGGGUCUUGUACACACCGCCCGUCACACCAUGGGAGUCGGAUAUGCCCGAAGCCAGUGACCUAACCGCAAGGAAGGAGCUGUCGAAGGUGGAGCCGAUAACUGGGGUGAAGUCGUAACAAGGUAGC
rnacentral:rRNA from 1 species